rnacentral:rRNA from 1 species
AAUGAACGCUGGCGGCGUGCCUAACACAUGCAAGUCGAACGAGAAAGUGGACUUCGGUCCGCGAGUAAAGUGGCAUACGGGUGAGUAACACGUGGGUAACCUGCCCGGAGGCGGGGGACAACUCUUCGAAAGGAGAGCUAAUACCGCAUAACAUCCCGAGCACCUCGGUGCACGGGAUCAAAGUUUGCCUCUGUUUCAUGCAAACGCCACCGGAGGGACCCGCGCCCCAUUAGCUUGAUGGUGAGGUAACGGCUCACCAUGGCUACGAUGGGUAGCCGGCCUGAGAGGGUGAUCGGCCACACUGGAACUGAGACACGGUCCAGACUCCUACGGGAGGCAGCAGUGAGGAAUUUUGCGCAAUGGGCGAAAGCCUGACGCAGCGACGCCGCGUGGAGGAAGAAGGCCUUCGGGUCGUAAACUCCUGUCAAGAGGGACGAAUCCCUACGGAAUGAAUAAGUCUGUAGGUUGACGGUACCUCUGAAGGAAGCCCCGGCUAACUCCGUG